rnacentral:tRNA from 1 species
GGUUUCGUAGUGUAGUGGUUAGCACUCCAGACUUUGAAUCUGGCGACCUGGGUUCGAAUCCC